CGCGAGUCGAGUAGUUUGGGAAUGCUGCUCAAAAUGGGAGGUAUACGUCUUCUAAAGCUAAAUCCCGGCCAGAGACCGAUAGCGCACAAGUAGAGUGAUCGAAAGAUGAAAAGCACUUUGAAAAGAGAGUUAAAAAGUACGUGAAAUUGUUGAAAGGGAAGCGCUCAUGACCAGACUUGGGCUGGCCCGAUCAUCCGGCGUUCUCGCCGGUGCACUCGGGCCGCCCAGGCCAGCAUCAGCUUUCGCCGGGGGAUAAAGGCGGCGGGAAUGUGGCUCCCUCGGGAGUGUUAUAGCCCGCCGUGCAAUACCCUGGUGGGGGCUGAGGUUCGCGCGUAUGCACGGAUGCUGGCGUAAUGGUUAUCAGCGACCCGUCUUGAAACACGGACCAAGGAGUCGUCUUCGUAUGCGAGUGUUCGGGUGUCAAACCCCUACGCGGAAUGAAAGUGAACGCUGGUGAGAGCUUCGGCGCAUCACCGACCGAUCCUCAUGUUCUCGGACGGAUUUGAGUAAGAGCAUACGGGGCCGGACCCGAAAGAAGGUGAAUUAUGCCUGUAUAGGGUGAAGCCAGAGGAAACUGUGGUGGAGGCUCGCAGCGGUUCCGACGUGCAAAUCGAUCGUCAAAUAUGGGCAUGGGGCCGAAAGACUAAUCGGACCU
rnacentral:rRNA from 1 species